UUGAAGUUUGUUGUUGGUUGUGAGACUGCGUGUUGUUCGUGUCAAGUUUUGGAGGUUUUCCCGAAUUAUGCGGUUCUCAGCUCUCAGUUUUGCAUUACUGUAGUCAUUUUGGUUUGAUAUUGGAAUUAGCUGUGGCAGGCGAUAAGGAGUAUGGUUGAUAUGCUACACGCGCCACUGGCGAGCAAACUGCUGACUUUGUCUUUUCUCUUGUGAUCUGUUUCAUUCGCUGUCAAAACGAACAACUGUCUUUGUGGUCCUGCUCUCCUUUCUGAUGGAUUCCGAACCUGCGGCAGAAGCAUGUGUUUCUCACGAAACUGGCGAACCUUCGACCAAGCCCAAACGGCAGCGGAAACACAAGGAUCCCGAUCACUGGCGCAAAGCCAAACUGCCCAAGAACACACCACUGACAUUCGAAUUUCUGGCUGGUCUGCUGUACAGUGGCCCAACGGAGUCCUGGCAGUUACAGAUUGAUCACACGAACGAGAUCAUUGCAUUUUCCCGCCUGUCCACAGACAUCGAACCCAGUUUGCUGGAUUGUGUGCGUUUUCUGCAUGAAACAGACGAAACGCAAGCCGAGGAUAAUCAUGUUGAGACCGUUCAGGGCGACGACCAGGGGGGCGCCCCUGGACGCACCCUCAUCGCGCAGUAUUAUUCCAGUGUCCCGUCGCCGACUCUGACCGAUGAAGUGCCUUCAACAUCGGCGGGGUUGACGGAUGGCGAAUCGCUGCGUUUGACAGCGAAAUCCGUCAUACACACGAUGGAUGACGUGGUGGGGUUUUUGAAGGAAAUUGGGAUGCUGGAUGACGAAACCAUGAGGAGUGUGGUUGAGAAGGCUGCCAAGCGAAAACGCUCUGCCAAGAAACGGAGGAACGAUGAAGAUGCAGCCGCAAAGCCUGCUAAGAGGAGAGCCACGACAUCUUCGAAUCCUCCGAGUGCUCCGAAACGUAAACGGGGCCGACCACCGAAUGGAGAAAAUUUCCCCACACGACAGCAGAUUCCACGAGGAUCGUCGGCUGAGAAUCUGGUUGCCGCGGAUCCUCCUCCAGCGCCCGAAAAGAAGUCUCGAAAAAAGGCUGUCAAGUAUUACGAAGUGGAGCGUAUUAUUGGUGCUGCGCUAUCGUUGGGAAAGGAGACAUUCUUGAUUAAGUGGGUAGGGUUUCCUUUCGAGGAAUGCACAUGGGAAUCUCUGGAAUCCGUGGAGUCCGCCGAAGAAGCCAAGGCUGAAUUUUUCAAAUCUUUUGGCUUACAAAAAAAACAAAUGUGAGACAUGGCAUUUAUUUGUGAUCUAUGUGGGAAAUCUCUUAAUAUCACAAAUCACGGUAUUAAGUGGCACAGAAAUUUUGGAGUUUGUCGAAUUGCUGGAGCGAAGAUCUGCAUCUGCCAACGCAGGCCAUUGGCCUUCUGCUGCAGUUUCUUGAAGAGCGGAUAUUAACGGGGCGGAGGCAGCAUGCCAUUCUUCGACGCAUCCCAGAGAGAGUGUUACAAGGGGAAAGGGACUCUUGCAGUGUGUACUGCGAUGGACUUUAUUGGUGACUCUCUCGACUUAAAACUCUCAACUAAAAAGCAACUCCUAAAACUCGCGAUGCAGUCGCGCUUAUAUUGGCGGCAAAUGGCAAACAUCAAAGGCUUCAAAAAAGAUAGCAAAACCUAAACAACAGGUUAUGCAAUCAAAACUCAUGGGAAGAACACGCCUACGGGCGUGAAGGCAUUCCCGAUGACAUCAUACAAAUGACAUCAUAACAAGAGCCAGACGAGCAUGCGCCGAAGUGUACAAGAAGAUUGUGGAGGACGUAUGUGCACGGAACGAAGAAGACUCUUGGUCUGGGUUACUUUUGUUUGCAUUCGACAAUCUGCACGCUCCUACUGGGAAAUCUGGAAGAGGCCCUUUCCUAGCGAGCGCUGUCAAAACCAGUUUGACUGGCAAACUACUGGAUGCACAAAAAGCAGCUUGUAGGUCAUCUGACGAAGUUUUCCGAAAAGCCGUUGACGCGAAGCUUCAGGAUGGAGACAUUGGUAGAGCCGUCAAGAUACUCACCCCCGAAGACACCAUUGCUGAACUUUCCGAAGAAAUUUUAAGGGCGCUGAAAGAUGAACAUCCAGAUCCACCAGCGGAUCUGGAUACAACGGCCUUGACGUUCCUCCAUAACACACGAUGUUUCUGUUGACGAUAUUCUGUGUGCUGUCAAGUCUUUACCUGCAGGCUCUUCAGCUGGCCCUGACGGUCUACGGCCACAGCCUAUCAAAGACAUGCUAAGCGGGCCAGGGGGUCCAAGUACACAUCUCUUAUCGGCUAUUGCAAAAUGGCUAAAUUGGUUCUUGCGGGGAAUAUACCAGUUGCUACCAGGAAAGUGUUUUUGGAGGGAUAUUACUUAUUGCCAUUGACGAACAAGUCCGAUAGAAUAGCCCAAUACCGUAUGGUUGUACGUGAAAACGUUUGUUCGGUAAGCUGACUGGAAGGCGAAUCUACGAACAGAUGGGUGAGCUAUUUUCGUCUUGUUCAGCUGGGCUACAGAAUACAGAACUCGCGGUGGCGCUGAAGUGGUAGUGAAUUCUGCUCGGAAAUUGUUGGACAAAGAAACUGAUGAAAUUAAAGUACUUCUGAAAAUAGAUUUCGUCAACGCAUUCAAUGCCGUGCAGAAUAGACUUCGCCAACGCAUUCGAUGCCGUGCAGAAGGACAUGUUGAAGAAAAUAGCGGAAGUAAUCCCCCAGUAUUAUGCCGCGUAUGGUUGUUCAUCUUCGUUGUUCUGCGGUGAAAACUUAAUUUCCUCUGCCCAUGGAAUUCAACAGGGAGAUCCGUUGAAGCUGUUAUUGUUUUCCUUUUGUACAAAUGAGCUCUCAGUGCGGCCGUUAUUCAGUUUGUGGUAUUUUGAUGACCCGACAAAUGGGAGGUGAUGUGGAAUCUGUAUUGUCGGGCUUCAGGAACAUAGCUGACUGCGCGUCGCGUUAGAUUGGGCUGCAGAUUAACUUAAAGAAAUAAUCUAUUUAUUUCUGUCUAUUUAUAAGUUGGUAAUCGGAUGUUGAGCAGAUAAGAGCUUUUCAGGAUGUUCAGCGAAGUAGCGCCCGGUGUCCAGUGGGUGGUUGAAGACUAGCUGGAUCUGUGGGGUGCCCCGCUGACUGAUUGGGCAAUACGGCGAGUGUUGGAUGGCAAGAUCGAUCAGAUCAAGCGACUGACCGAUCUUCUUGGUGUGUUACCAGCUCAUCAGUCGGUAUACUUGCUUAAGAGUAGCCUUUCGUUGCCCGGGUUAUUGUUUACCUUUAGGUGUUCGCCUUGGUGGAGGUGGCCUGAAAAGCUGCACGAAUUUGACGAAUACAUAAGGAAGAAAGCGCAGGAAAUUACUAACAUCGAAAUGUUGGUGUCAGUCUUCUUUGCUUCCUUGCCCGACCGGAUGGUAGGAAACAGGCUUCCUUGCCCGACCGGAUGGUAGGAAUAGGAUUUCGGAAAGCAGAGGAAAUUUGCUUGCCUGCCUACUUCUCCUCGCGUUAUGCUACGAAUGCACUCGUUGCCGAUAUCGUACCUGAUGAAGGCGCAAACGACAUCGAGUCGUAUGUGGAGGUCUUUUGUGAGAAGAGCGGUGAAGUGCCCGCACCAGAAAUGUAUUGUCACCAGCGAGCUUAUAUAAUACAUAUACGCUGUUGUCACUAACAGUCAGCGCGGACGGCAAUUGUGUCCGCCAGCAUCAAGUGUUUGCUGGAGGGUGCCGACGUUGUCGAAAAAGCUUGCUUGUUGACUGUCUCCACGAAAGAAUCGGCUGCUUGGGUGUCUGCUUUGCCUGUAUCCAGCCUCGGUAUAUUUGGACGGAGCGACAGUAAGAACUGCAGUUGCGUUGCGCUUGGUGCUGUCGUUUGCAGUGAACAUAAAUGCAUUUGUGGAAGUAUGAUGGAUAAAUUUGGUCGGCACGGACUACCCUUCAAAAAGAAAGGAAGAAUUCCUCGACACGAACAUGUGAAUGAUACUAUGCAAAGAGCGAUCGGACCAGCGAAUAUAUCAUCUAUCAGUGAGCCUAUGGGUCUAGAUCGAAAGAACGGUAAGCGACGGGAUGGAUUAAAUCGUUAUCCGUGGAAAAGGCAAAACGUUGGUGUGGGACGUUACAGCUGUGGCAGAUACGUUUGCACAGGCUUAUAUUGGUCAGACAUCCGAUCAUGCUGGGGGUGCAGCAAAAGGGACCGAACACCGGAAGUGGAGCAAGUGCCGCCUUCUUCAAAAUUGAGGCCUCCUCUGUCGUAUAAGCCUCCCCCACUUUAGUUCGAAAAUUUAGUAGCCUCCUCCGCAUUAGAGGUUUCCCUUCAUAAACGGUGUACUAUAGCAAUAACGCUAGUACAAAGGCUUCGAAAAUUUAAAAGCCUCCCCCUCCUCUGCGGUAUAAGCCUCUCCCCGGGCACCUUUGAAAAUUUAGAAUCCUAGGGCUUCUAAUUCGAAAAAUACGGUAUGCUGAGUCGGCUGAUCAGUAUAUAUUUCAAUCAGUCGCGUUAGGAACAAAUCCGAACAAUGUGGAAGCUGCGGUCCUCGAACCAUGGACUUUAUUGAUGAGCUGGCUAGACGCAUCAGAGAGCAGACUGGGGAUAUUCGCGCAAAGCAGUGUCUGUUACAGCGUUAGCGUGUAGAAAUUCAGCGUGGUAAUGCUGCUUGUGUCUUGGGAACUGUUGAAAAGCAGCAAAACUUGAUGGUUUAUUUUUAGUCUGUUCAUACUUUACUGUGUUUCUUUUACGGAAACUGUAUAAUGUUGAAAAUCUUAUUUGUUUUUGUUUAUUUUUUGGGUCCACAAUGCAGUGUACAGGCAGCCGUCCUCUUUCAAAACGGUUGUUCUCUCUCCAGAAGGGGAGAGAUUCGAGAAAUGGAAAAGGGAAGGCGUUAUGGGAAAAAAUGUUCGACUCAACUGAUACGGAGAUCCGUCAUUCCUCAACUAGCCUGGCAUAUCGGUGUUUAUUACGACUGCCGCCGCAGUCAUUUUUAUUACCUGUGAAUGAUAACCCUUCUUUUCAGUCCGCUGUGGUUCUUUACUGAUUUGAUUGUUACAGUUUCGACUUCAGAAUUGACAGCUAAUAUCUUUUUACAGGCGAAUUAAUUAAUAUAAUUUUGCUUCUGUUCCUUGUACUUGUAUAAGUACUUGAUUAUCUUAUAAAUGUUGGAAUUUGUUGCAUACAAUGGUUCAUGCAGGACAUGUCCAAACUCGGAUUUACGGAUGCUGUUACGCGAUCACUGUG